rnacentral:pre_miRNA from 1 species
GGAAACUUAGAAACUAUCGUUGGAUCGAGAAAUGGAUAUCUAAGAUUCGUCCACGUCACCAUGAGUUAAAAUUUAACUCCUAUUAAAUCUGCGAGUUAAAUUUUAACUCAUGGUGACGUGGACGAAUCUCGGACGUUCAUUUCUCGAUCCAACGAUAGUUUCCAAGUUUCC